UGAACGCUAGCUACAGGCUUAACACAUGCAAGUCGAGGGGCAGCAUGGUCUUAGCUUGCUAAGGCCGAUGGCGACCGGCGCACGGGUGAGUAACACGUAUCCAACCUGCCGUCUACUCUUGGACAGCCUUCUGAAAGGAAGAUUAAUACAAGAUGGCAUCAUGAGUCCGCAUGUUCACAUGAUUAAAGGUAUUCCGGUAGACGAUGGGGAUGCGUUCCAUUAGAUAGUAGGCGGGGUAACGGCCCACCUAGUCUUCGAUGGAUAGGGGUUCUGAGAGGAAGGUCCCCCACAUUGGAACUGAGACACGGUCCAAACUCCUACGGGAGGCAGCAGUGAGGAAUAUUGGUCAAUGGGCGAGAGCCUGAACCAGCCAAGUAGCGUGAAGGAUGACUGCCCUAUGGGUUGUAAACUUCUUUUAUAAAGGAAUAAAGUCGGGUAUGGAUACCCGUUUGCAUGUACUUUAUGAAUAAGGAUCGGCUAACUCCGUGCCAGCAGCCGCGGUAAUACGGAGGAUCCGAGCGUUAUCCGGAUUUAUUGGGUUUAAAGGGAGCGUAGAUGGAUGUUUAAGUCAGUUGUGAAAGUUUGCGGCUCAACCGUAAAAUUGCAGUUGAUACUGGAUAUCUUGAGUGCAGUUGAGGCAGGCGGAAUUCGUGGUGUAGCGGUGAAAUGCUUAGAUAUCACGAAGAACUCCGAUUGC
rnacentral:rRNA from 1 species